UGCUUGAAAGAAAGGCGGAGUAUAAACUAAUGGAUAGGUUUUUUCCACUCAUUGGUACAAACUCCAAACUUCUUCCAAAUUCGACCUCAAAUCAGGUAGGACUACCCGCUGAACUUAAGCAUAUCAAUAAGCGGAGGAAAAGAAACCAACAGGGAUUGCCUUAGUAGCGGCGAGUGAAGCGGCAAAAGCUCAAAUUUGAAAUCUGGCACUUUCAGUGUCCGAGUUGUAAUUUGAAGAAGGUAUCUUUGGGUCUGGCUCUUGUUCUAUGUUCUUGGAACAGAACGUCACAGAGGGUGAGAAUCCCCGGUGCGAUGAGAUGUCCCAGACCUAUGUAAAGUUCCUUCGAAGAGUCGAGUUGUUUGGGAAUGCAGCUCUAAGUGGGUGGUAAAUUCCAUCUAAAGCUAAAUAUUGGCGAGAGACCGAUAGCGAACAAGUACAGUGAUGGAAAGAUGAAAAGAACUUUGAAAAGAGAGUGAAAAAGUACGUGAAAUUGUUGAAAGGGAAGGGCUUGAGAUCAGACUUGGUAUUUUGUAUGUUACUCUCUCGGGGGUGGCCUCUACAGUUUACCGGGCCAGCAUCAGUUUGAGCGGUAGGAUAAGUGCAAAGAAAUGUGGCACUGCUUCGGUAGUGUGUUAUAGUCUUUGUCGAUACUGCCAGCUUAGACUGAGGACUGCGGCUUCGGCCUAGGAUGUUGGCAUAAUGAUCUUAAGUCGCCCGUCUUGAAACACGGACCAAGGAGUCUAACGUCUAUGCGAGUGUUUGGGUGUAAAACCCGUACGCGUAAUGAAAGUGAACGUAGGUAGGACCUCCUUUAGGAGUGCACUAUCGACCGAUCCUGAUGUCUUCGGAUGGAUUUGAGUAAGAGCAUAGCUGUUGGGACCCGAAAGAUGGUGAACUAUGCCUGAAUAAGGGUGAAGCCAGAGGAAACUCUGGUGGUAGGCUCGUAGCGGUUCUGACGUGCAAAUCGAUCGUCGAAUUUGGGUAUAGGGGCGAAAGAC
rnacentral:rRNA from 1 species